rnacentral:rRNA from 1 species
UACAGAGGGUGCAAGCGUUGUUCGGAAUUAUUGGGCGUAAAGCGCGCGUAGGCGGCUUUGUAAGUCGGGUGUGAAAGCCCUCAGCUCAACUGAGGAAGUGCGCCCGAAACUACAGAGCUUGAGUACCGGAGAGGAUGGCGGAAUUCCCGAAGUAGAGGUGAAAUUCGUAGAUAUCGGGAGGAACACCAGUGGCGAAGGCGAUCUUCUGUCUGUUUCUGACACUCAGACGCGACAGCUAGGGUAGUAAACGGG